UCGGUGAGACGACGUUGGAACCGUUUAAGAAGAAGAAAAACGUCUUCACAUUGUCGUCGGUAGCGGCGGCGGUCCUACGGCUCAGAAAGUGUGAAAUUUGAAAGUCGCGCAACCGUGACGCAACGACGUAUUCAUUAUAUGGUCUUUUGAUUGUAAGGACGCGUUGUGAGGACGAAGAUUAAGAUUUCCCACACAUGCGAUUAAGAUGAAGCUGAUCUUCCUAUUGUUGCUGUUUGUCGGUUCCGUCUUUUCUGCAUCCUGGCUUGAUUUAUGGUUUCCUGGGCAAACGUCAUAUAAUAGAGGGAAUGAUCCGUAUCGACAGUAUCGUCAAGGAAGAGGUGAUGGCAAGGAACGCUGGAAGCAAAUCUGCAGGACAAUAAAUGCCGAUCCUUACGCAUAUCCAGGACGUGUGCCUUACCCGGCCGCGCCGGUUUGUCCCUGGUAAAAGUCGAACCCGGUCGAACGGCUGUUUGCCUUGUCGUGCCAAAUACAAGCGAUAACAUACACGCGAUGCGUUAAAAAUAUGAAUUUAUUAUAACAACGUUUUAGAGACAGUAUACGCCCACGGAUUAUGAGUAUUUCAGUCAAUGUGUUUGUAUGUACGCGCGCAUGUACGUGUGUCGUGUGUGUAUCCGUAUGUGUGCGAAGAUACAUACAUAAACUAAUAUACAUAAAUAUUCGCGGUUACAUAUAGCUACUUACUGUACCGUACGCGUUGUAUGUAAAUUACGAAGCGAGGAAAUAACUGCCAUUGUUUCCUUUACGCAUUUUUUCUUCUUUUGUACACAAUUUUUAUUACGCCUCAUUUUUUUUUCUUCUUCUUUCUCCUCUUCUUAGCUCGCACUCACAUCUCUUAGUCGGUUUUAUUAAAAAAAAAAAAGUUAAAUGAAUUUUAUUUUAUAUCACACUUAUAUCGUAUCGAUACGUUCCUUUGGUUGGAUUUACUAAAGAAAAUCUCAUGUGCCAUAUUAUAGAGUAGCUUUACUCCUUAAGGGGAUGUCAAAGUAGAUGAUGUAUUAAAGAUACAAAAAUGCUCCUUCAAAUUUUCCUAAACGGAAUGAAUACACGUUCGGUAUGUACAAGUUUGAGAAUUUUUGUAUCAGGUAAAUAUUUGAUUAAUAAUUGAAAAUAUUUGAGACUAUAAUAUUAGAGUAUAAGGACAUUUGUAAUACUGUCGACCAAUACGAAACUUUGCAGAAAAUAGUCAGUAUUUUCAAAGUUUCCAAGUAUGGCAUCCCCUUGACCAACACUGAUGCUUUUCUUACCUUUUUAGCUCUACAUAUGAGGUGCAAGUGCGAACUCAAAGUACAUUCGCUACUUAGAUAGAAUUGCAUUAAAGGCUUAUUUGUCGAUUUCUCGCGUAAAAUCGGCGAUCGACGCAUCUUAAGCCCGUUACAACAACUGUCUAAUAAUACAUCGAUAGAUAAUACUCUGAAUUUUCUUCCUUUUGGCGCGUACAAAAAUAAACUAUGUACAUUAUUA